rfam:Gossypium arboreum cultivar AKA8401 contig_31731_3, whole genome shotgun sequence.
AACCCAUGGUGAGGGCACUUUCUCAAUAGAUCCUUGUAUAUCUCCCAUGUAUCGUAGAGUGUUUCUCUGUACAAAAGAAGAAAUACAAUUCCUUAGUUU